rnacentral:hammerhead_ribozyme from 1 species
AAGCGAAACAAAAGCACGGCUCAGGUCGUGCUUUUGUCUACUUAGUGUCGUGACUAAGUACUGACGAGCAGCGAGAU